CGCUGGCGGCAGGCCUAACACAUGCAAGUCGAGCGGAAACGACUUAACUGACCUUCGGGGAACGUUAAGGGCGUCGAGCGGCGGACGGGUGAGUAAUGCCUGGGAAAUUGCCCUGAUGUGGGGGAUAACCAUUGGAAACGAUGGCUAAUACCGCAUAAUGCCUUCGGGCCAAAGAGGGGGACCUUCGGGCCUCUCGCGUUAGGAUAUGCCCAGGUGGGAUUAGCUAGUUGGUGAGGUAAGGGCUCACCAAGGCGACGAUCCCUAGCUGGUCUGAGAGGAUGAUCAGCCACACUGGAACUGAGACACGGUCCAGACUCCUACGGGAGGCAGCAGUGGGGAAUAUUGCACAAUGGGCGCAAGCCUGAUGCAGCCAUGCCGCGUGUAUGAAGAAGGCCUUCGGGUUGUAAAGUACUUUCAGUCGUGAGGAAGGUAGUGUAGUUAAUAGCUGCAUUGCUUGACGUUAGCGACAGAAGAAGCACCGGCUAACUCCGUG
rnacentral:rRNA from 1 species